GCCAGAGGGUGCAACCGUUGUUCGGAAUUACUGGGCGUAAAGCGCGUGUAGGCGGCAGGGCAUGUCGGAUGUGAAAUCCCGUGGCUCAACCACGGAAGUGCACCCGAAACUGCCCAGCUUGAGUCUCGGAGAGGAUGGUGGAACUCUCGGUGUAGAGGUGAAAUUCGUAGAUAUCGAGAAGAACACCGGUGGCGAAGGCGGCCAUCUGGACGGUGACUGACGCUGAGACGCGAAAGCGUGGGGAGCAAACAGG
rnacentral:rRNA from 1 species